AUUGAACGCUGGCGGCAGGCUUAACACAUGCAAGUCGAGCGAGCGGCGGACGGGUGAGUAAUGUCUGGGAAACUGCCUGAUGGAGGGGGAUAACUACUGGAAACGGUAGCUAAUACCGCAUACCAUCAUAUGUGCCCAUAUGGGAUGAGCUAGUAGGUGGGGUAAUGGCUCACCUAGGCGACGAUCCCUAGCUGGUCUGAGAGGAUGACCGGCCAAACGGGAACGGAGACAGGGUCCAGCCUCCGACGGGAGGCAGAAGUGGGGAAUAUUGCACAAGGGGGGCAAGCCUGAUGCAGCCAUGCCGCGUGUGUGAAGAAGGCCUUCGGGUUGUAAAGUACGUUCAGCGAGGAGGCGUUACUCGCAGAAGAAGCACCGGCUAACUCCGUGCCAGCAGCCGCGGUAAUAC
rnacentral:rRNA from 1 species